GGUCAAGUGGCGUAAUGGUAACGCGUUGGUUUUCGGCACCAAAGAUUGCAGGUUCGAGUCCUGUCUUGAUCG